rnacentral:tRNA from 1 species
CGGGAUGUAGCGCAGCCAGGUUAGCGCGCCACGCUGGGGGUGUGGAAGUCGAGAGUUCGAAUCUCUCCAUCCCGA